CCUACGGGGGGCAGCAGCUAAGAAUAUUCCGCAAUGGACGGAAGUCUGACGGAGCGACGCCGCGUGGAUGAAGAAGGCUGAAAAGUUGUAAAAUUCUUUUGCCGAUGAAGAAUAAGGAUAAGAGGGAAUGCUUGUCUGAUGACGGUAAUCGGCGAAUAAGCCCCGGCUAAUUACGUGCCAGCAGCCGCGGUAACACGUAAGGGGCGAGCGUUGUUCGGAAUUAUUGGGCGUAAAGGGCAUGCAGGCGGUUAUGUAAGCCUGAUGUGAAAUCCUGAGGCUUAACCUCAGAACCGCAUUGGGUACUGCGUAACUUGAAUUACGGAAGGGAAACUGGAAUUCCAAGUGUAGGGGUGGAAUCUGUAGAUAUUUGGAAGAACACCGGUGGCGAAGGCGGGUUUCUGG
rnacentral:rRNA from 1 species